CCACGAGAAGCUGAUCCCAUGACUAAAGUGCAGGCCGAACUAGAUGAGACCAAAAUCAUUCUGGUUCUGUUCCAUCCACUUGGACAGUAACUAUUCUUGGACCGAGUCUCGACACCUAGAGGUGAAGUUUGUGUGUGUUGGAGAGGAACCCAGCACAACACCAUGGAGUCUCUGUUAGAGCGAGGUGAGAAGCUAGAUGACUUGGUGUCCAAAUCCGAGGUGCUGGGAACACAGUCUAAAGCCUUCUAUAAAACUAAAAUAUUUAAUUGACAAGGAUGGGUGCUGCUGACUGCCGCUUUCUCUCAGGCCCGGAAACAAAACUCAUGCUGUGCCAUCAUGUGAUGCAGCCUGCCAGAGGCCCAAUGCUGGAAUGGCACCAUCAUUCACAUCAGAACUGCAGCCCCUGGAAAAGAAGAGACAGCCAUAGACGAGGAGCCAGAGUGGGGGCAGACUGGCCAUUUUUAUUUUGAAGUUCCUGCGAGAAAUGGAUGGUGGAAGGGUGGCGAAUGUUCAAAUUCAUAUGUGUGGUAGUGAUUCUUGGAAAGAAUUUGAGGUCCCCAAAGGUGUAUUUUUGGGCAAAUGAAACCAUAAACUCCGACUGGCUUCUGUAGAUGCCAAAGGGCUCUUUUUCAGCUAACCCUGGGAAGGCUCUGUGGGAGGGAGGUCGGAGCCA
rnacentral:lncRNA from 1 species